rnacentral:tRNA from 1 species
GCCCCCGUAGCUCAGCAGGAUAGAGCGGCAGUUUCCUAAACUGCGGGUCGGACGUUCAAGUCGUCUCGGGGGUA